rnacentral:misc_RNA from 1 species
GAUGAAGAACGUAGCGAAAUGCGAUACGUAAUGUGAAUUGCAGAAUUCAGUGAAUCUUCGAAUCUUUGAACGCAUAUUGCGCUCUCUGGUAUUCCGGAGAGCAUGCUUGUUUGAGUAUCAGUAAACACCUCAACUUCCAUAUCUUUUUUGAAAUGGGAGUUGGACUUGAGUGAUCCCAACGCUUUUCCUCACCGAAAAGUGGCGGGUUACUUGAAAUGCAGGUGCAGCUGGACUUUUCUCUGAGCUAUAAGCAUAUCUAUUUAGUCUGCCUAAAAAACAGAUUAUUACCUUUGCUGCAGCUAACAUAAAGGAGAUUAGUUCUUGUGCUGACUGAUGCAGGAUUCACAAAGACGGCUUCGGCCGACUUUGUAAACUCGAUCUCAAAUCAAGUAAGACUACCCGCUGAACUUAAGCAUAUCAAUAAGCGGAGGA